UACGUAGGGGGCAAGCGUUGUCCGGCUUUACUGGGCGUAAAGAGCGUGUAGGCGGCCAGGUAGGUCUGCUGUGAAAACUCGAGGCUCAACCUCGAGACGUCGGCGGAAACCAUCUGGCUAGAGUCCGGAAGAGGAGAGUGGAAUUCCUGGUGUAGCGGUGAAAUGCGCAGAUAUCAGGAAGAACACCCGUGGCGAAGGCGGCUCUCUGGGACGGUACUGACGCUGAGACGCGAAAGCGUGGGGAGCGAACAGG
rnacentral:rRNA from 1 species